AUAAUAAUAGUGUAAAGGUAACAUAUUAAAUCAAUUAAAAGAUUUAAAGAUUCAUGUUCGAAUCAUGAUUAUAAGA